GACGAACGCUGGCGGCGUGCUUAACACAUGCAAGUCGAACGGUGAAGCCCUGCUUGCUGGGUGUGCUAGUGGGGCAAGGGGGAGAAACACGUGAGCAUCGUGCGCGCUUCUCUUGAGUAUAUACCGGGAACGGUGGGUAAUACUGGGGAUGUGCGCGGGAGGCGCCUCCUGGGGUUUGGAAAGUUUCGUCGGUUCGGGAUGGACUCGCGGCUUAUCAGCUUGUUGGUGGGGUAGUGGCUUACCAAGGCAUUGACGGGUAGCCGGCCUGAGAGGGUGACCGGCCACACUGGGACUGAGACACGGCCCAGACUCCUACGGGAGGCAGCAGUGGGGAAUAUUGCACAAUGGGCGGAAGCCUGAUGCAGCAACGCCGCGUGCGGGAUGACGGCCUUCGGGUUGUAAACCGCUUUCGCUUGUGACGAAGCGUGAGUGACGGUAACGGGUAAAGAAGCACCGGCUAACUACGUG
rnacentral:rRNA from 1 species